UGUGAUUCCACAGUUUUGCACAAUUCACAGUGUCUCAAGCAGUUUCUAACUUCCUAUACAAGAUGUUCCAACUUUACGAAGGCACUGUCACUGCCUGUCACUGAAGAGCAGAUACUGAUUUGUUGCCACAGUCCCAACCCCUAGUCUACAAUGAGAAAAACACCAGACAAACCCCAACGGAGGAUAUUCCUCACAACA